rnacentral:rRNA from 1 species
AUACGGGGGGUGCAAGCGUUAUUCGGAUUUAUUGGGCGUAAAGGGCGCGUAGGCGGCUUGGUAAGUCAGAUGUGAAAGCCCGGGGCUUAACCCCGGAAGUGCAUUUGAAACUAUCAGGCUUGAGUAUGGGAGAGGGAAGUGGAAUUCCUGGUGUAGAGGUGAAAUUCGUAGAUAUCAGGAGGAACACCGGUGGCGAAGGCGACUUCCUGGACCAUUACUGACGCUGAGGUGCGAAAGCGUGGGGAGCAAACAGGAUUAGAAACCCCAGUAGUCC